UACAGAGGGGGCAAGCGUUAUUCGGAAUUAUUGGGCGUAAAGGGCGCGUAGGCGGCCAGCACAAGUCAGUUGUGAAAUCUCCGAGCUUAACUCGGAAAGGUCAACUGAUACUGUGCGGCUAGAGUGCAGAAGGGGCAACUGGAAUUCUUGGUGUAGCGGUGAAAUGCGUAGAUAUCAAGAGGAACACCUGCGGCGAAGGCGGGUUGCUGGGCUGACACUGACGCUGAGGCGCGAAAGCUAGGGGAGCGAACGGG
rnacentral:rRNA from 1 species